UACGAAGGGGGCUAGCGUUGUUCGGAUUUACUGGGCGUAAAGCGCACGUAGGCGGAUUGUUAAGUCAGGGGUGAAAUCCCGGAGCUCAACUCCGGAACUGCCUUUGAUACUGGCAAUCUAGAGUCCGGAAGAGGUGAGUGGAACUCCUAGUGUAGAGGUGGAAUUCGUAGAUAUUAGGAAGAACACCAGUGGCGAAGGCGGCUCACUGGGUCCGGUACUGACGCUGAGGUGCGAAAGGCGUGGGGAGCAAACAGGGAU
rnacentral:rRNA from 1 species